ensembl:lncRNA
AUGAACAGAGAACAUGGGAAAAACGUCAAUGAUAUCUGUGAAAAUGACUUUGUCACAAAAGGAACAUUUGCAAAAAGGACCACAGACAGUCACACAACGAGAAUCCAGUCAUCUGAACUCACAGGAAGUGAUGACGUGAUGAUCAGAAACUCCAGAGCAGCUGCAGUAGUGUUUGUGCUGCUGUGUGUUCUUCUGCUGACUGCACGCAUAAUACUGUGUGCCACCUUCGAUCAAGAGAGACAACAGCUACUAACUAAGAUCACCAACCUCACAGAAGAGAGAGAACAGCUACUAACUAAGAUCACCAACCUCACAGAAGAGAGAGAACAGCUACUAACUAAGAUCACCAACCUCACAGAAGAGAGAGAACAGCUACUAACUAAGAUCACCAACCUCACAGAAGAGAGAGAACAGCUACUAACUAAGAUCACCAACCUCACAGAAGAGAGAGAACAGCUACUAACUAAGAUCACCAACCUCACAGAAGAGAGAGAACAGCUACUAACUAAGAUCACCAACCUCACAGAAGAGAGAGAACAGCUACUAACUAAGAUCACCAACCUCACAGAAGAGAGAGAACAGCUACUAACUAAGAUCACCAACCUCACAGAAGAGAGAGAACAGCUACUAACUAAGAUCACCAACCUCACAGAAGAGAGAGAACAGCUACUAACUAAGAUCACCAACCUCACAGAAGAGAGAGAACAGCUACUAACUAAGAUCACCAACCUCACAGAAGAGAGAGAACAGCUACUAACUAAGAUCACCAACCUCACAGAAGAGAGAGAACAGCUACUAACUAAGAUCACCAACCUCACAGAAGAGAGAGACCAGUUCAAAUCAGAAAGCAAUGAACUUCAGAAGUGUUCUGCAGGUAAGUUUCAGCUUCAGUCUAACUGGUGACUUGCUCUACACUCAAAAAAAUAGCACAUUGGUUGAACAUGAUUUAAUCGUGGACAGUGGUUCCACGUGAUUACACCACAUUAUCUUAACAACAAUGGAUGAUGUUCAACCAGCUUGAAAUAUUUGUGUUCAUUUAACAUGAACAGAUGACAUUCACUAAACAUGAUUUAAAUACUUAUUUUUAACUUGAAUUAAUGUUUUUUAUUCAAUUAAUCAUGCUAUCUUAAA